AUCCUAACUAUCCUUCUGAUUCCA
rnacentral:siRNA from 1 species